UUCCUAAUUUAAUGUCCUCCUGUAAACGCUCCGUGAACGUGCUGUAAGCUCGACAAAUCCAUUUCCGGUGUGUAACGCCACAGAUAAAUCAUUAACUUGAUUAUUUUUAUGUGUCAGCUGCCAAUAAACUGAAUUGGAAUCUCAACCGUGAACAUGAAGGAGACUGCGUCUGUUGAGUGAUUUAGUGUUUGAGACUCAGAUUUGUUCUGCUGCUGUUAGAACCUGGAGGAUUUGAUGAUGACCUGUGGACAGGUGUGGAGGUGGUGUUGGCCGACAGUGGGAUCUGUCCAUAGAAGACAUCUGACAGCUUGAUCAUUCAUUUAGAUCCCAGGUAACUGAAUAAAGCCUGUAGCAGGACCUGUUGUGGCCCCGGUUCUGAUGGUCUGUCGAGUCCAGCACAGAGCACCUGAAGUGGCUCCUCCAAGGCCGGAGGUGCCACAGGUGUAACGUUGUUGAUGAAUAUGUAGAAACCACCCGGCCCUCUUAUCGAUCAGCCGGCAGAGAGCUCACAUCUCCAGGCAUGAAAAUCACCAGCGACAAGGCCGAGCCGCCCAGCGCACCAAUCCAUCACCUCUCAUUUUAUGGCUCCCACCUCCAGAUCAAUACUGCCUGUGUGUGUGUGUGUGUGUGUAUGCUAUAUGUGUGAUGUAUGCCGGCCCAGUCUGAUUCAGAGUGACAAAGCACCUCAGCAGAGUCAAUAAACAGAGCAGAAAACGGCACGUUGAUAAAUGUGUGAUAAUGCUGUUGGAUUUAUCUGCAGUCAAACUCUGAACAGUUAAAAUAUUAAUGUGAACAGGACCAGUACGACGACUCCAGUCUACUUCAGCUCAGUGACACCACUUCACACACACAAACAGCUGUUUGAGUCUACAGGUCCUUCUCUGGAUCAGAGGCCGGGACCUGUCCAUAACAGAUGAAGCUGAUCCUGUGCUCAGCUCUGUCAUCGUCUGUGCUAAAGUCAACCUGAGGAGAAGAUGGAGCUCAUGAGCUGGACCAGCUCUCCAAACAGUAAGCCACAGCAGAGGACCCAGACUGUCCUCAGCCUGAAAACGAGCCCAGAGGUCGUCU